AUGAGUUUCAUGAACACUACUAAGAUGUUGAUGGAAGGAAUCAAGAAGAAACUACGAGGACUGAGGACGACUGCACUGCAAGAUUUGUCAUGGACCAGCUCUCUGCAUCUCCUGAAAGCAGCGAGUGACCGACAGCCCACACACUUUGGAGCACGUCAGGACACCCACUUUCACCUUGAUUGGCACCGAAGAGCACGGAGAGCACACGGGAAGCACCAGCCACCAGAAAACGGAUCAGCACACUUCACCAGGCACCCUACACUUCUCAAUAAAUCCACCCUCCGGGGCAUUUAAUUCACGCACCCCUUGUCGAGUGAUUCUUCAACCCGUGACAAUAUAUAUAUAUUUUAAUAGUUGAUAUUCCGAAUUUUUCUUUUUUUAGGCAGCAUUACACAAAUGCAAACACACACACACACACACACAAACUGAGCAAAAUUCCUGAGCAAAACAGUUUACACUCCUUCACAGCCCUUAACCUGAGUGUCGUGUCAUGACCAGUUUUCAGACCAGUAUUCUUAAUCUUCAUCUCUUUGUUGUUAUUAUUCUCCUGACUCAUACAGGUACUCUUUACUUGCUUUGAUAAAUAUGAUGUCCCUGUGAGUUGAUAUGGCUAUAGAUUUUGUAUUUUGAAUAUAUAUAUAUUCUUAUGUUUUGUUCAAAAUAUUUAACACUACAUGAAAAAUUAAUUGUGUGUCUCAUGAGAUUUUGCUGUUUUCUACUGCAUAAUGACAGUGGCAUUGUUUUCACAAUUUUAUCAUCCAUUGCAUCUAAUGCAAAAGUAGAAUUUUCUGUUUUUUCUUCAGAUUAUUCCAAAUCUAAUCAAGAAUCGGCAGCACAUCAACAAAACAGUGUUUGUUAGGGAAAAACUUAAACUUCAAUGCAACAAAAACAAACCUGAUAAUGAUUUCACAUGGAAAAUUAACAACUUUGUUACUUUUAGGCAGGUCUCUUAUAUUAACAAAACUAAGACAAACUUCAGCUCAAACAGGAUUCACAUCGACCCAGCAGCUCCAGGAGAGUUAACAAUACAUCAAAAAAAGCGUCUGAUGCAGGAAACUACUGCUGUUACCCAACAGCAAUGAGAUGGACAUUAACAAUAACAGGUUUUUACUUUAUUUCAUUUCUUGUAUAUUCUUGUAAAAGAGUUUGGUUUAGCAAGUAUAUUUCUGUCAAAUUCUGUAUAAUUUUAACAGAAAACUGAGACAGAAGAUCAACUCUGGUUCAGAGGAUGUGAGUAUAUUUACCACAGAACAGCUUAUUAUUUAGCACAUAAAUCUG
ensembl:lncRNA